rnacentral:rRNA from 1 species
GACGAACGCUGGCGGCGUGCUUAACACAUGCAAGUCGAACGGAAAGGCCCUGCUUUUGUGGGGUGCUCGAGUGGCGAACGGGUGAGUAACACGUGAGUAACCUGCCCUUGACUUUGGGAUAACUUCAGGAAACUGGGGCUAAUACCGGAUAGGAGCUCCUGCUGCAUGGUGGGGGUUGGAAAGUUUCGGCGGUUGGGGAUGGACUCGCGGCUUAUCAGCUUGUUGGUGGGGUAGUGGCUUACCAAGGCUUUGACGGGUAGCCGGCCUGAGAGGGUGACCGGCCACAUUGGGACUGAGAUACGGCCCAGAAUCCUACGUGACGCAGCAGUGGGGAAUAUUGCACAAUGGGCGGAAGCCUGAGGCAGCAACGCUGCGUGCGGGAUGACGGCCUUCGGGUUGUAAACCGCUUUCGCCUGUGACGAAGCGUGAGUGACGGUAAUGGGUAAAGAAGCACCGGCUAACUACGUG